CACUGCACUCCAGCCUGGGAGACAGGACGAGACUCCGUCCAAAAAAAAAAAAAGAAGAAACCUGUGUUGGUAGACACGUAAGUUCAUGAACUGCAGAUACAAAUAGAUCGAGCAGCAGAUAUGUUUAUUAUCUCAAACAAGCACGGCACUGCUUCCUGGUGUGGAUUAUAUUCCAGUUUUCAAAAGGAACCAUAGCAAGUACAAGCAAUACGAUUUUAUUUUGGAGGGAUUUCUACCAUCAUAGGCCAAAGAUGUUACUAAGUAUCAACUCUGAAAAAGCAACUAUAAAUACUGCAAAUCGACUAAGCCAGAGGACGGGAAUAUAUAUCCUGCGUGUGGUGUGCUGGACUGUGGUGGGGACUUCAUGCUUGUGCUCUGGGCUCAUGGGGGCAGCUGACUGCUCAUAAUUAAGGUUGCUGUUGCGGCUGCCCGUGUUCCAGAGAGAACACAAGACGACAGAGCUAAGGUGCAGGAAUGCGGAAAAACUUGCAGAAACUAGAGCCAGUCUUCGGAUUGAAAUGAAUUACCAAUAAAGGGUUGGGAAAUGGAUCGAGGGGAGGGAAGCAUUUUGAUGGCCCCUGCUCCGAGGUUCAGCCCAUUUGCAGUUGCUGAUAACCUUGUCAGGUCACCAGAUAAAGGCAAGUCUUGUCACCCUCAGGCACCUGGCAGCAAGGUAAUAAAACGGUUGCCUUAUCAUCUGAAGGUGGAGUUAGUCAAACCUCAGCCCAGGGUAAUUAUAGUAAACUGAAAUUGCCUGUCCUUUACAAAAGAAAAGGGGGGGAGGGAGAGAGAAAGGAAAAGGGCUUAAGGCAGGAAAUUGUGUUUGUCUUUCUCCUUGGAUUUAAAAAAGAAACGAGCAAAACAGCAAGAAGUUUUCCAGGGAGGGAGAAAAACAGCCCAGCUAAACUCCCCUCACCGGGGUUAACAGGAUUGCUGACAGAUCAAGCCCACGUGAUGGUCAAGAAAAGAGGCUCAAGCUGAUGAAAAUCCAAGAAAUCUUCUUAGGAGCCUUCCUUUCUAAAUGUAAAUGACUGAGUCAUUGCUUUGCUAAGGAGGGAAGGAAGUUACAAUCACACCAAGUGACUCAUUCAUUGCUGUUAGCUCUGGCAGUUGGAUAAAAAGUUUUAGCAAAAGCAGCAACAAAUGUACUUGAAAUACUAGCACAGUAAGGGAAUUCCUCUCUUUCAGGAUGAAUGCCAUCCACACAAAAGAGCUCCUGUUGACAUCUCAUUUACAAUCUCCCCCAGGACACAGACAAGACCCUUUCAAUAAACUCGGCUCAGAAACACCUAUUGUUCAAAAUCUUCAACUCGCCACAGGCUACCACCACUCCCUACGGCUUUGCAAAAUUAAAGAUUUAGAAGAAGGAUGGGGACGGUGGAAGCUAUGAAAAGAGGCAGGAAAAAAGCCCCUUUGACCCGAUGCUGUCAGAGAGCGUGCAUGAAGAAGAAAGUUAAUGGUAUUUCCAUUUAUAUAAGAAGUGCCUAAGAAAUGCCUGUGACGUUCGUGAACUAGUGAUUGUGAAUUCCAAAUUUGAUGCCAACUUUAUGUGUAAAGAAGCUAACUCCUGCCAACAUUGUGGCUGAAUGAACAGCCGGGGCUAUGCUUAACCCAUUCCCAGCUUACAAAAGCCCCAUAGCAGCUGCAGGAAAGCAUCAGGUGAGUCUGAUACGGGCUGUCUGUUUCCUCUGGGAUUUGAAGCUUGCCUGUCCUGUCCAAGUGGAAUCUUGUGCCUAAGUGCUAGAGUCCACCCCUCUCCACUGAUUCCCUUCUUUCCAUUUCUGCCAUUUCCCUUCUUCUUUUAAUAAAACUUGGGCAUUUUCUAGAGUUACAUGUUUUUCUUGGGAUGUACUUCACAUUAAGGAGCAUAUUUGUGUUUACAGAAACACACACACACACACACACACACACACACAAAAGAAUCGGGCAUUUCCCAAGUGGUGAUAUCUUUACCUUCCUCAUCUUUCACUUAAGGUGCCCUAUCUCAGUACACGAUCCCUUUGUCUGCCCCGAGUUCAGGCCAAAACUCGGCAUUAUCUGUAAGCACUCUUGGGUCCUCUCUGAUCUCUUAAAUCCCUCUGGAAUCAUUCCACAUCCUUCUGUGCAUCUUUCUGCUUCCCUAGAUCCUAUAGUUUGAAAUGUUCUCUUCUGGAGUAUCACAGCAACUUCCUUAACCCAAGGUUUCUCCAACUCUGAGUUGUGACUUAAUGGGUAGUGAAAUCAGAUGAGUCAUGCAGUUUCACCAUUUAGAAAAUGCAAAAGGUUAGGUAGAAAAUGUCAGCGUACAUCCUGUGUAGAAAAAUUAAGUCUUGUUGGGAAACUUCUUUCAGUUUGUGUGUGCGUGUCCCCGGAUCUGUGUACGUACUGGGCAACAGGGAAAAUGCAUUUUGUAGGUCAAAAUAUUUGGAGAAAUACUUUUCUACUUAGUCUCACUGGGUCUGUCUUUUCUCUGUUUCCAAACUAUUGCGUACACUUAGAGGAAGAGCAGAAACCCUCCAGCAGGUCCUGUCAGUCUGCAGUUUACAAAUCUGCCCUCAGGAUAAGAGUUCCUGCUCACCGUUCAGGUCUCAGAAUUCUCCAUCCUCCUGACCACUUUGCCUUCAGUUAUUCAACCCAUCAGUUUCCCUGGGUUUGCAUGUGCAAUCGAUUCCUCGUUAGGGAUAUUCUUUCCUCUGGUUUUUCCUUCAGAUCUGAGCUUACGUUUGGCCUCUUCCAGGAAGACGCCAGGAAUGUCCUUCUGAAUGCCCUUCCUCGUUCUCAUGAGAACACUGCCGUUUUUAAUCAGGCAGAGCACUUAUUACAUUAUGAUUAUCUUCUUGGUUCCCAACCGAACUAUCAAGCUCCAAGUGGGCAGUCAGUAAAUAUUUCUUGGUGCAUCAAAUGCUCCACAUUUUACACAGUUCACGUUUGCUUCCUACGAACCAAUUUGGAUAGUUAUAAAGUAUCUUAUCUCUAGUUUCCUUUAACACUUAAAUAUCUCUUGCACAUUUUCUUUUCAAACACUGCUUCGUUAAUUUGCAAAUUCAUUGAACUCCUAUUAUUUUGAAAAAUCAAAAUAAUAAAACUUCAAGAAAGCUGUUUGGCUUCUGGCCAGUUAGUCACCCUCUCUGAAUGACAGAUCUGUAAACAGGAAGGGCAGAACUCUGAUCUCUAAAAUCCUCUCCAGUCCACUAUGACCCUCUAACUUGAACUUUCUCCAGAGAGGUUAAGUGACUUUUCCAAGGUCGUGCAGCUUUUUAGCAGCAGGAGAUUUUUUGCCUGUCUAUAGAUUUUUAAAAGCUAGCAGCAAACAAAAACCAAAAAGUUUACCAAGGAAACUGAGUGCCACUAACAAGUUUGUGUGAAAGAGAAUUCAUAAAGAAACAGGAGACUUUGAACAAAACACUAAAAUCAACAACAACCAAAAUGGAUUCCUGCCUAGGCAGGUCUGGACUUUAAAAAAAAUGGUCUCACUGUGGUUUGCUAUUAGAUGGAGAGAUAUUCAGAUUUCAUUUUUAAAAUGAAAGUGAAAGAUUAAAGAAUUUUGGCAUCCUGACCCUUUGUAGAGGCCAUUCCUCAGAGGCACAGUGUGCAGACAAAACUAUCCUAGAGGUGCCAACCAAAACAAGCUAAUGUCUGCCUCAUUCCUGAGCCCUGGUGCCUUGACCAGUAACCACGCUCAGGAAGAAAGCUGCAACUUGCCAGGAUGAAAUUUGGCCCCAGUUCUUACAACCCUUCCCCCCUUCCUUCCCCUGCCAGAAUCACACUGAAGAAUUCGCUGCUCUCAAAGGCAGACUUUUUCAUUACUUCCUUACAUUAUAGAGUUUGGGCUUAGAUAACCAGUUGUAUGAGUAGCAAGUCCAACAGAAAUACAACAGCAAUAAUACUUAUUUCCUUCCCUAAUGUAAUAUGUUAUACUUCAUAAGCCACCAUAUGCAUUUGUUGCUUUUCCCCCUUCUACACUGACCAGCAGUUUUGCUUUGUUUGACAGAAAAGUAUGGUAAGAAGAAAUUGAAUUUGAAGUGCUUUCUUACAAAGGAAAAAGAAAAUCACUAUUAUAACUGUAUACCAAACUACUACGUAUGUGAGGCCCCAACUUUGACUUCACAUCGUUAUAGCCAGGGUAGCCUCCAGCCUUAGGAUGUGGCCAGUCCCGGUGCGGAUGCCUGUUUCCCCUCCUGCCUGCACUCCUCGGACCGGUUCAGUGGGAUCUGGUACUUUUCCUCCCUCCUCGCGCUGGGCUUCCACAUCAUCCCGACAGCUGCCGACACAUUCCACCGCUCCAGCAGCGGAAGUAAGGCACAUUUAGGCCCUUUCUGGGUACCAUCAAAGCCUAAACUGGGCCGGGCAUGGUGGCUCAUGCCUAUAAUCUCAGCACUUUGGGAGGCCAAGGCGAGCGAAUCACGAGGUCAA